AUUUGCCCCAUUCAUCAGCCAUUGAACUUAAGAAAAUGCUCUGCCUUCUAGGAGUUGGUAAAUUAUUGAAACUUUGGUAGGUUUGAAGUUACUGAGUUCGUCCUAGUCAGGAACAAUAAGCUUUGAAUAUGAAAUAGGUUUUUGCGGAUUUUCAAAUUAGUUCACGUUUAAAUUUAUGAUUAGAUUGGUUUUCCUCAUUUCAUUUGAAGUAACUCAUAUUUCUGAAAAUUUUGGCUAGUUGAACUGAAAGAGCUUUAGACACGUAAGGCAACACAAUAUGUGUUUCACUUUCACAUUCUUUACUUUUUUACAAGCGAG
rnacentral:misc_RNA from 1 species